GGCUCGGGAAGGUCGGAGAAAAGAGGGUCGUCGAGGCCGCCUUCGAGGAGCUUCAUCGCGUCCUCCAUCUCGUCCAAAGAUAUGCCCGCGUCGUUGCCGAGCUCGUGAGGGUCCCAGUGCAUAUCAGGGUCGACGGGCCGCGUGGCGACAGGGAGCUCGAACGUGAGCGGGAGGCGAAUGGUGAGGAGUAAGAAGGAGGCGAGA
rnacentral:ribozyme from 13 species